rnacentral:lncRNA from 1 species
UGACUGGGAACUUUCCUGAGUGCGCGUUUUCUCAUCUGACGCCUCCAAACGCUCUGAACUCUGCUGGAAACGCAAAUCUAAUGACUAACGCAAAUGACGCACGGCUGCGUGACGGCGACAGACAUGUGCGCAAACUCUACAGACUGCGUGGGUGUCCUGCUCUUUCUGCUCCAGCUGCAGUUUAGUCAGAACAAACCCAUCGACUUCAUCUGUGACCCAGAGGUGAGGAGACGCAUGGAUGUGACGGAGGCGCUGGAGACGCUCACGACGCACUGCUUGGACCAGCUGCCCUCGGCCGUCCUGCGGCCCUGUGUCCGGAUAAACAUGGCAGCGUGGAAACAGACCUCAGUGAGUACAGCUCCUUCAUCUAACAAGAAAAGAGGCAAACCAGAAGAAAAACAUUGACAUUGACUGAAAUAAAG